rnacentral:miRNA from 1 species
AACAUAGAGGAAAUUCCACAU